GAAAAAUCGUUUUCAAAAUUAAAUCAAUAUGUCAAUAUGGCUACUGGGUGUAAAAGAUAAAUCUUAUUCUAUCUGUUCUUAAUGAGUUUUAGAUAAUUUUAGUUGUAUUUCUUUGUAAUUUUGUGUUGUACAAAGAUUAAUUUAACAUUUUCUCUGGAAGUAUUAAUUUAGAAAGAUAAUAUGCUUCAUUGGUGUUGUGUUUUGAAGUGUGAAAUGUGAUAAAGUCAAGAUAAAGUUCACUUUUAAACUGAACUAAAUAAGGUAUCUGAGAGACAACAAUGGUUAAAUGCAAUACAAUGUACAGGUUUUACUAGCGAAAUGAAAAUUUUCCUGUCCUGUCUGCUGUAAUCAUUUUAUAUCUGGAAAACCAGCCGACUUAAUAGAUAAUAACAAUCUCCAGAUUGGGUUCCUUCAAUAAAUAUGGUCUAUAAACACAAUGAAAUAAGUUCCCCAAAAUCUAAAAUGGAGUGGUAUCAAAGGAGAAUUAAAGGGAAAAAUAUUCAUAUUGAAAUUAUUUAUAAGGCACUGGACUGUCUUAAAUUCUACAAUAAUACUAGAAUCAGCUGAGAAAAGUGGUCUACAAAAAAACCAGGAAGGAAACGGAAUAUGUGGCUACGAAAGGCAAAAGAAAGGUUUACAAAGCAAAUGUGACACAUUUUUUUGAAAUAUUUAGGAAUAUCAGUAAAUUGCAUUAAAAAAAUGUAUGAAAAGAUUUUGUUCAAUAAAAAUGUUUAUAUUUA